AAAACAUCGCCUCCUGCAACACAACCAAGUAUAGGAGGUCCAGCCUGCCCAGUGACUACAAGUUCAACGGCCGCGGUAUUUUGACCGUGCAAAGGUAGCGCAAUCACUUGUCUUUUAAAUAGAGACCUGUAUGAAUGGCUAAACGAGGGCUUAACUGUCUCCCAUUUCCAGUCAGUGAAAUUGAUCUGCCCGUGCAGAAGCGGACAUAAUAAUACAAGACGAGAAGACCCUUUGGAGCUUAAGGUACAAAAUUCAACCAUGUCAAGCAACUAACUAUAAAGCAAAAACCUUAUGGAACCUGAAAUUUUACCUUCGGUUGGGGCGACCACGGAGGAAAAACUAGCCUCCAAGUGGACUGGGAUAAAUCUCCUAAAACCAAGAGAAACACCUCUAAGCCACAGAACAUCUGACCAAACAUGAUCCGGCCACCAAAGCCGAUCAACGAACCAAGUUACCCUAGGGAUAACAGCGCAAUCCUCUCCCAGAGUCCAUAUCGACGAGAGGGUUUACGACCUCGAUGUUGGAUCAGGACAUCCUAAUGGUGCAGCCGCUAUUAAGGGUUCGUUUGUUCAACGAUUAAAGUCCUACGUGA
rnacentral:rRNA from 1 species